UACGUAGGGUGCGAGCGUUAAUCGGAAUUACUGGGCGUAAAGCGUGCGCAGGCGGUUUUGGAAGGCGGAUGGGAAAUCCCCGGGCUUAACCUGGGAAUGGCAUUCGGGACUGCAAGGCUGGAGUGCGGCAGAGGAAACUGGAAUUCCUGGUGUAGCAGUGAAAUGCGUAGAUAUCAGGAGGAACACCGAUGGCGAAGGCAGGUCUCUGGGCUGACACUGACGCUCAUGCGCGAAAGCGUGGGGAGCAAACAGG
rnacentral:rRNA from 1 species